rnacentral:rRNA from 1 species
GAGGGGCCCGCGCCUGAUUAGCUAGUUGGUGAGGUAACGGCUCACCAAGGCGACGAUCAGUAGCCGGCCUGAGAGGGCGGACGGCCACGCUGGGACUGAGACACGGCCCAGACUCCUACGGGAGGCAGCAGUGGGGAAUUGUUCGCAAUGGGCGCAAGCCUGACGACGCAACGCCGCGUGGAGGACGAAGAUCUUCGGGUCGUAAACUCCUUUCGAUCGGGAAGAACGGCCUUCGGAUGAACAAUCCGGAGGAGUGACGGUACCGAGAGAAGAAGCCCCGGCUAACUCCGUGCCAGCAGCCGCGGUAAUACGGAGGGGGCCAGCGUUGUUCGGAAUUAUUGGGCGUAAAGGGCGCGUAGGCGGUCGAGUAAGUCUGACGUGAAAUCCCUUGGCUCAACCAAGGAACUGCGUCUUAAACUGCUCGGCUUGAGUCCGGGAGAGGGUAGUGGAAUUCCCAGUGUAGCGGUGAAAUGCGUAGAUAUUGGGAGG